rnacentral:rRNA from 1 species
CGCACGGGUGAGUAACACGUGAGUUACAUGCCCUGCAGUGGGGAAUAGCCCGCCGAAAGGCGGAUUAAUACCCCAUGGUCCCGCAAGGGUAAAGGUGGCUUCGGCUGCCGCUGCAGGAUUGACUCGCGUCCUAUCAGUUUGUUGGUGAGGUAACGGCUCACCAAGACGACGACGGGUAGCUGGUCUGAGAGGACGAUCAGUCACACUGGAACUGAGACACGGUCCAG